AGCGCGCUCCCUCCUGCGGCUCCCGAGCGCCAGCGGGAAGUUGGUUUCCCUGAAGAAUCGCUGCUGGCGGGCCCCACGCCAUCCUCCUCGCUAGAGUCGUCUGGAACUAGACAAAGUGAGGUCUGAGCAGAGCUCUUCAGUUUUUGAAGUGCCACCACCACCACAGCCACAGGAGGGGAUGGGAAGGCAGAGGAGGGAAAUGCCUCUGAAUGACCUGAGACCUCCGGUGACAGAAAUGCCCGGUGAUACAGUGCACCUGACCAUGCAUCACUCAUCGGAUAUUAACUUAAGAAGCCUUCCCCAGGCAUAAGAAGGGCUGUUGUAUUUCAUACCACAGGAGCCUUCAGCUCAAAGAAGACAGACAAAACAGUGCUAAAAGGAAUGGAGAAAACUGACAGCUUGUUAGACUUUUGAAUGUUUUGUGUGAAGCUGUCCUUUUGGAAGACAUUGGUAUUUUCUUGGUUGAGGAUCAAACAAUCCCCUAAUUUCCCUCCACUGGCAAUAAGCCACAGUGCUGGAGCCCUAAUUUACUGGAGUGGGUUUUAAUUACAAGUGGAGUCUACAAAAUUUAGACUUCUGUUCUUCUACAUAAUCCAAAUAAAGGUUCAAGCUGAAGAUUUCAUGAGAUGAUGAAUAUAUCACUGAAUUAAUUAGAAAAA